rnacentral:antisense_RNA from 2 species
UGUGGGAGCGAACCUGCUCGCGAUAGCGGUAUGUCAGACGCAUCAAGGUUAACUGGCACUCCCCAUCGCGAGCAGGCUCGCUCCCACA